CUGUAGUGCAAUUGAUAGCACUUUGGACUUCUAAUCCAAAGGACGUGGGUUCGUAUCCCGACUGGAAAGG
rnacentral:tRNA from 1 species